rnacentral:rRNA from 1 species
CCCUUAGAUGUUCUGGGCCGCACGCGUGCUACACUGAGUGGAUCAGCGGGUCAGGUUGCGCGAAAGUGUUUCCUAAUCUUGAAAUCCGCUCGUGAUGGGGAUUGACGGUUGCAAUUUUCCGUCAUGAACGAGGAAUACCUUGUAAGCGCGGGUCAUCAUCCCGCGCUGAAUACGUCCCUGCCCUUUGUACACACCGCCCGUCGCACCUACCGAUUGAAUGGUCCGGUGAAGUCUUCGGACUGGCAGCAUGUAUGUGCUUGCCGGGAAGUUGAGUAAACCUUACCAUUUAGAGGAAGGUGAAGUCGUAACA